AAAUGAAUCACUUGGGGAUCUUGUUAAAAUGCAGAUUCUAAUUCAACAGAUCUGACAUGGGACCUGAGAGUCUGCAUUGCUAACAUACUCCCAAGUGAUGCCAGG
rnacentral:pre_miRNA from 1 species